CGCGUAGGCGGUUUGUACAGUCAGACGUGAAAUUCCUGGGCUCAACCCUGGGGGCUGCGUUUGAUACGUGCAGACUUGAGUUCGGAAGAGGGUCGUGGAAUUCCCAGUGUAGAGGUGAAAUUCGUAGAUAUUGGGAAGAACACCGGUGGCGAAGGCGGCGACCUGGUCCGAUACUGACGCUGAGGCGCGAAAGCGUGGGGAGCAAACA
rnacentral:rRNA from 1 species